rnacentral:rRNA from 1 species
UGGGGAAUUUUGGACAAUGGGGGAAACCCUGAUCCAGCGAUGCCGCGUGACCGAUGAAGGCCAUAAGGUUGUAAAGGUCUUUUACUCGUGAAGAUAAUGACGGUAACGAGAGAAAAAGCACCGGCUAACUUCGUGCCAGCAGCCGCGGUAAUACGAAGGGUGCGAGUGUUGUUCGGAAUAACUGGGCGUAAAGGGUGCGUAGGCGGCCAAAUUAGUGAUAUGUGAAAUCCUCAAGCUCAACUUGAGAACUGCAUAUCAUACUUUUUGGCUUGAGUAUGAUAGAGGAAACGGGAAUUCCUAGUGUAGGGGUGAAAUUCACAGAUAUUAGGAGGAACACCAAAGGCGAAGGCAAGUUUCUGGGUCAUUACUGACGCUGAGGCACGAAAGCGUGGGGAGCAAACAG